AAAAAAAAAGAGAUCAAAUAAAAUACAAAAGAAAUCUUGUGAGGAAAUGAAUGAUGAUGGAGUCUUAGAUCAACAAGGCAAAAGCGAAGGUGCCGAUAAGGGCAGAACCCACAACUACAACUCUGUUGAGUGAACCAUGAGCUCCUGAAGGAGGAGUUAAAGGAGAAGUGGAUCCAGAGCUCGGUGAAGGGGAACCAGAAUGA